CCCGCGCUCGCCUCCGCUCCGUUCCCUGGCGGGACUGGGCGAGAGCCCGAGCGGCAGCGGCGCAGGGCUGAGCCCCGGGGCGGAGCUGGCGGCGGCCCAGAGGAGGCGGCACGGCCGCAGCAGAGCCGGGGCUCAGGGGCACAGCGAGGCUCGGCCGGCGGAGCGGCGCCAUGCGGCGGGCUCGGGCCGCGGGGCUGCCGGCGCUGGCCGCGCUGCUGCUCGUGGCUGUGGCCAGAGCCCAGGUAGAGCAGGAGCCUUUCCUGGAGACCACCGAGGGCACCGGCAUCAACAUCACCUGCUCACAUCCCCAAAUCCAGACCGGCCAAACGAUCUACUGGUACCGUCAGCUGCCGGGCCGAGCACCCGAACUCUUCGUGAGCAUUUUCAAAGACUCCAAAGAGCUGCCGGACAGUGCGGGCCAUGUGCGGGUGUCGCCAGAUCGGCGUUCCAGCGCGCUGUGGCUGGCUGUGCCCCGGCGCGGGGACGCGGCCGUGUAUUACUGCGCGCUGGGGGCCACGGGCAGAGGAGCCGGGGCUGCGGCCGGGCACGAACCGCCGCGGGCGGGGCCGGGCGGGGCCAGCAGGGGCCGCUGCCGCUCCGCCCGCCGGGGCCGCCUCGCCCCGCACGUCCCGGGCUGCCGGCACCGACACCGGCACCGGAACCGACACCGGCACCGGGACCGACACCGGCAAAUGGACCGACACCGGCACUGUCACCAGAACCGGCCCCUACAACGGGACCGGCACCAGCACCGGCACUGACACAGGACCUAACCCUGG